rnacentral:rRNA from 1 species
CAGUAGCCGCGGGAAUACGAAGGGGGCUAGCGUUGUUCGGAUUUACUGGGCGUAGAGCGCACGUGGGCGGACUCUUAAGUCAGGGGUGAAAUCCCGGGGCUCAACCCCGGAACUGCCUUUGAUACUGGGAGUCUUGAGUUCGAGAGAGGUGAGUGGAAUUGCGAGUGUAGAGGUGAAGUUCGUAGAUAUUCGGAGGAACACCAGUGGCGAAGGCGGCUCACUGGACCAUUACUGACGCUGAGGUGCGAAAGCGUGGGGAGCAAACAGGAUUAGAUACCCCCGUAGUCCCUGUCUCUUAUAC